UACGGGGGGAGCAAGCGUUGUUCGGAUUUACUGGGCGUAAAGGGCGCGUAGGCGGCCACUGCAAGUCGGUUGUGAAAUCUCCGGGCUUAACCCGGAAAGGUCAAUCGAUACUGCAGGGCUAGAGUGCAGAAGGGGCAACUGGAAUUCUCGGUGUAGCGGUGAAAUGCGUAGAUAUCGAGAGGAACACCUGCGGCGAAGGCGGGUUGCUGGGCUGACACUGACGCUGAGACACGAAGGCCAGGGGAGCAAACGGG
rnacentral:rRNA from 1 species